rnacentral:rRNA from 1 species
CAGUCGCCGCGGUAAAACGUAUGUCACAAGCGUUAUCCGGAUUUAUUGGGCGUAAAGCGCGUCUAGGUGGUUAUGUAAGUCUGAUGUGAAAAUGCAGGGCUCAACUCUGUAUUGCGUUGGAAACUGUGUAACUAGAGUACUGGAGAGGUAAGCGGAACUACAAGUGUAGAGGUGAAAUUCGUAGAUAUUUGUAGGAAUGCCGAUGGGGAAGCCAGCUUACUGGACAGAUACUGACGCUGAAGCGCGAAAGCGUGGGUAGCAAACAGGAUUAGAUACCCCCGUAGUCCCUGUCUCUUAUACC